rnacentral:rRNA from 1 species
CAGCAGCCGCGGUAAUCCGGAGGGGGCUAGCGUUGUUCGGAAUUACUGGGCGUAAAGCGCACGUAGGCGGCUUGGUAAGUUAGAGGUGAAAGCCCAGGGCUCAACCCUGGAAUUGCCUUUAAGACUGCCGAGCUAGUAGGUGAGAGAGGUGAGUGGAAUUCCGAGUGUAGAGGUGAAAUUCGUAGAUAUUCGGAAGAACACCAGUGGCGAAGGCGGCUCACUGGCUCAUUCUAGACGCUGAGGUGCGAAAGCGUGGGGAGCAAACAGGAUUAGAUACCCCCGUAGUCCCUGUCUCUUAUAC